GUUGAGUUUCAGAGAAACCCGCUGCUAAGAGAGUACCAGGCCUUCCAGCCCAGGUCUCUGCCCUGCCUGGGUUUGUGCUCCUGUUGCUGUGUCCAGGAACCCAGAAUCCUGUGUAACACAGUGUCCAGCAUCAUCACCCCAGAAAGUUGAAGGGCCUGGCGAGGCGCACGGCCGCGCAGUUUGCACC